rnacentral:rRNA from 1 species
CCUACGGGGGGCAGCAGUGAGGAAUAUUGGACAAUGGACGAGAGCCUGAACCAGCCAAGCAGCGUGAAGGAUGACUGCCCUCUGGGUUGUAAACUUUUUUUAUAUGGGAAUAAAAUGUUCCACGUGUGGGAUUUUGUAUGUACCAUAUGAAUAAGGAUCGGCUAACUCCGUGCCAGCAGCCGCGGUAAUACGGAGGGUCCGAGCGUUAGCCGGAUUUAUUGGGUUUAAAGGGAGCGUAGGUGGAUUGUUAAGUCAGUUGUGAAAGUUUGCGGCUCAACCGUAGAAUUGCAGUUGAAACUGGCAGUCUUGAGUACAGUAGAGGUGGGCGGAAUUCGUGGUGUAGCGGUGAAAUGCGUAGAUAUCACGAAGAACACCGGUGGCGAAGGCGGCUCACUGGACUGCAACUGACGCUGAGGCUCGAAAGUGUGGGUAGCAAACAGGAUUAGAUACCCGGGUAGUC